AGUGAACGCUGGCGGUAGGCCUAACACAUGCAAGUCGAACGGCAGCACAGUAAGAGCUUGCUCUUACGGGUGGCGAGUGGCGGACGAGUGAGGAAUACAUCGGAAUCUACUUUUUCGUGGGGGAUAACGUAGGGAAACUUACGCUAAUACCGCAUACGACCUACGGGUGAAAGCAGGGGAUCUUCGGACCUUGCGCGAUUGAAUGAGCCGAUGUCGGAUUAGCUAGUUGGCGGGGUAAAGGCCCACCAAGGCGACGAUCCGUAGCUGGUCUGAGAGGAUGAUCAGCGACACUGGAACUGAGACACGGUCAAUACUCCUACGGGAGGCAGCAGUGGGGAAUAUUGGACAAUGGGCGCAAGCCUGAUCCAGCCAUACCGCGUGGGUGAAGAAGGCCUUCGGGUUGUAAAGCCCUUUUGUUGGGAAAGAAAAGCAGCAGGUUAAUACCCCGCUGUUCUGACGGUACCCAAAGAAUAAGCACCGGCUAACUUCGUG
rnacentral:rRNA from 1 species